AUGCAGCGCAGAUCCCGUGUUGUUGUGGCUGUGGUGCAGGCUGGCAGCUACAGCUCCGAUUCAACCCCUAGCCUGGGAAAUUCAAAUGCUGCAGUUGCGGCCCUAAGAUUAAAAACAAACAAACAAACAAAAAACCACUGUGUUCUCCCCAUGAAGUUCAUAGCUGAGUGGCCUCUAAGUUUUGUCCUUUCUAACCUCAGAAUCUGCCUUCCCGUGGCAGUGCGGGGUCCAGAGGCCAGAAGCAGGGUCUGCUCCCAGUGUCCCCACAGAAAUAGGAUGUCCUCCUGGGGGGCUUGUCCCUGUUUCUCAGCAAAAGAGACCCCGUGCUCACCAUCAACACCACCCUGGGUCCCAGCUGUCCCUCCUCCUUCCCUCCUCCCACGCACAGCUUCACACAGCAACCCCUCAACCUGCUUCUGAAAAAGAAAAAGAAGGGAGGAGUUCCUGUCAUGGCUCAGUGGUAAUGAACCCGACUAGUAUCCAUGAGGAUGUGCAUUCAAUCCCUGGCCUUGCUCAGUGGGUUAAGGAUCCAGCAUUGCCGUGAGCUCUGGUGAAGGUUGCAGACAUGGCUCGGAUCCUGUGUUGCUGUGGCCGUGGUGUAGGCCAGCAGCUGCAAUUCCAAUUUGACCCCUAGCCUGGGAACUUCCAUAUUCUGUGGGCGCAGCCCUAAAAAGACAAAAAAGAAAGAAAAAGAAACAGAGUGGUAGAGGCUAAAGUUAGGGAAGAAGGAACAGACAAAAGACUGACAAAAACCAUUCCAAAAUAAGGAAUUCUGGCUGUGGUUCGGUGGGUUAAGAAUCCAACUGCAGCAGCUCAGUUUGCUGCAGGGGCACAAGUUCAACCCCUGGCCCAGCAAAGUGGGUUAAAGUUCACAUUAAAAAAAAAAAAAUCUGGGAGUUCCCACUGUGGCUCAGUGGAUUAUGAAUCCGACUAGUAUCCAUGAGGCUGAGGGUUCAAUUCCUAGCCUUGCUCAAUGGGUUAAGGAUCCAGUGUUGCCACAAGGUUUUGGAUGUUUCCAAUACUAUUCGGUGGCACUGCACUGGUCCAGCCAAGGCUGCAAAUCCUGCUCAGAUUCAGUGUUGCUGUGGCUGUGACAUAGGCCAGCCUCUGCAGCUCCAAUCAUACCCCUAGACUGGGAAAUUCCUUAUGCGGAGGUGCAGCCCUAAAGAGCAAAAAUAUAUAAAUAAAUAAAUAAUUCCGGAAGAAAACA
rnacentral:lncRNA from 1 species